ACCUUACNGGUCUUGACAUCUAGUGCAAUCUGUAGAGAUACGGAGUUCCCUUCGGGGACGCUAAGACAGGUGGUGCAUGGCUGUCGUCAGCUCGUGUCGUGAGAUGUUGGGUUAAGUCCCGCAACGAGCGCAACCCUUGUUAUUAGUUGCCAGCAUUAAGUUGGGCACUCUAAUGAGACUGCCGGUGACAAACCGGAGGAAGGUGGGGAUGACGUCAAGUCAUCAUGCCCCUUAUGACCUGGGCUACACACGUGCUACAAUGGGCAGUACAACGAGAAGCAAGCCUGCGAAGGCAAGCGAAUCUCUGAAAGCUGUUCUCAGUUCGGACUGCAGUCUGCAACUCGACUGCACGAAGCUGGAAUCGCUAGUAAUCGCGGAUCAGCACGCCGCGGUGAAUACGUUCCCGGGCCUUGCACACACCGCCCGU
rnacentral:rRNA from 1 species